AGCCUUGAAUUUAGGCUUUCAGAAAGCACUUUUGUUUUUAUAAAAUGAUGUGUUUUUAUGAGAUUAUGCCGGGGAAGGUUUUCCGGUUUAUCCCGGAGGGCUUGUAGCUCAGUUGGUUAGAGCGCGCGCUUGAUAAGCGUGAGGUCGGAGGUUCAAGUCCUCCCAGGCCCACCAAUUACUCUAUUCAUUUUCUUUAUCUGUUCCUUUGAUUUUGUGUGCAGAUAACAGUUUUAUAAAGGAUUAUGGCGCUUAUCUCUUUCGCUUAAGUACUUCAAAGUUAACGCGGUACAAACGUAAAGCGAUGCAAAAUUGCUACAAAUUUUGCACUGUCUAUUUUAACAGUUUGGAAUCCUUUAUUCUGUUUUAGGGGCCGUAGCUCAGCUGGGAGAGCACCUGCUUUGCAAGCAGGGGGUCGUCGGUUCGAUCCCGUCCGGCUCCACCAUUCUAGAUCAUCAUCAUUGUUGUGAGAACAGUCUUUGUAAAAGGUUGAAUAGC
rnacentral:tRNA from 1 species